UUAUCUAUCAAGGAUAUGUCAGGAAGAGC
rnacentral:sRNA from 1 species